GACGAACGCUGGCGGCGUGCUUAACACAUGCAAGUCGAACGGUAAGGCCCUUCGGGGUACACGAGUGGCGAACGGGUGAGUAACACGUGGGUGAUCUGCCCUGCACUUCGGGAUAAGCCUGGGAAACUGGGUCUGAUACCGGAUAGGACCACUGCCUGCAUGGGUGGUGGUGGAAAGCUUUUGCGGUGUGGGAUGGGCCCGCGGCCUAUCAGCUUGUCGGUGGGGUGAUGGCCUACCAAGGCGACGACGGGUAGCCGGCCUGAGAGGGUGACCGGCCACACUGGGACUGAGAUACGGCCCAGACUCCUACGGGAGGCAGCAGUGGGGAAUAUUGCACAAUGGGCGCAAGCCUGAUGCAGCGACGCCGCGUGAGGGAUGACGGCCUUCGGGUUGUAAACCUCUUUCAGCACCGACGAAGCGCAAGUGACGGUAGGUGCAGAAGAAGGACCGGCCAACUACGUGCCAGCCGCCGCAGUAA
rnacentral:rRNA from 1 species